GAUGAACGCUGGCGGCGUGCCUAAUACAUGCAAGUCGAGCGAACAGACGAGGAGCUUGCUCCUCUGACGUUAGCGGCGGACGGGUGAGUAACACGUGGAUAACCUACCUAUAAGACUGGGAUAACUUCGGGAAACCGGAGCUAAUACCGGAUAAUAUAUUGAACCGCAUGGUUCAAUAGUGAAAGACGGUUUUGCUGUCACUUAUAGAUGGAUCCGCGCCGCAUUAGCUAGUUGGUAAGGUAACGGCUUACCAAGGCAACGAUGCGUAGCCGACCUGAGAGGGUGACCGGCCACACUGGAACUGAGACACGGUCCAGACUCCUACGGGAGGCAGCAGUAGGGAAUUUUCCCCAAUGGGCGAAAGCCUGACCGAGCAACGCCGCGUGAGUGAAGAAGGUCUUCGGAUUGUAAACCUCUGUUAUUCGGGAAGAAAAAAUGUGUAAGUAACUAUGCACCUCUUGACGGUACCUUAUCAGAAAGCCACGGCUAACUACGUG
rnacentral:rRNA from 1 species